UUUCGCAUAUACAAAUAGUAUAAAAUAAUACAAUAAUAUACAAUACAAAAUAGAAUUCGAAAAAUACUAAAUACAAAUUUCCACACUAGCUUUAGCUAUGGCUAUGUCGUUGGUUCUAUAUACUCUUAUUUAUAUUGCGUUAAUUAUUUUUGUUUUCAAACUAUUUUCCAUUUCUCAACAUUUUAUAUGGGAAAGUAGAAACUAUAUAAUUCUCAAUCCCAUCGUUGAUCGUUUUAAACCUAGCAUUAAGAGGAGAAUCUUUUGUAGGCCCCUAUAUGUUACGUAACACGCGCUCAAAACUAAUGAUAUACCUUUCCACUUGGUUACAUAGAACUAUAUAUUAGUCAAAUUUUAAAAUCAGUGUUGAUAAGUUUCUCAAGUGGCAAACAAACUUAGAAAGUAUGUUUAGUGCUUUAUCUGUAAAAUAAUGCUAAAAUGAAAAGAUUUUAGAUGGCACGCCAAAGAGAAAAUGAUGUCUGAAGUUCAGUAAGUUUUGCUUAUAUUGCUGUAUAAAUAUGGCGUCAAUAAUGGACAUUUGCAUUAUAGACUAAUUUUGAUCUAGACAAAAAUUUCAUCACAGCUUGAAAGAGCAUCACAAAAUUAGUAAUAUUCC